UCCUAUAACUGGGCUCCCCUGGUGGCUCAUUAGUUUAAAAAUCCACUGAUCAAUGUCAGAGUAAUGAAUUUGAUCCCUAAGUCAGGAAGAUCCCCUGGAGGAGGAAAUGGCAACUCACCCCACUAUUCUUGCCUGGGAAAACCUAUGGACAGAGGAGCAUGGAAGGCUACAAUCCUUGGGGUCACAAAGAGUCAGGCAUGACUUAGUGACUGAACAACAGAAACACCCUGUAACCAGGAAUGAUGGAUAAUGGAUGCUUUGGGAAGAUGAGAGAAGAAGGUGUGAGAAAGCAUGUAGCAGAAACAUAAAGGAUUGGAAAGCUUCAUUCAUAUCAUGGAUGGAUAAUUUCUGCUGUUUAGUAAUAAAAUCUCAGGAAUUUAAAGAUAUUUAACAGGACACUUUAUGAUUUUGUGAAAACAAACACACAAUACACCUACUAAUAUGCCUAGUAACUGUACAAAAGAUAUUUGUUGACUGAGUGAACUAGUAAUAGGUACCUAUUGUAAGUAAUAGAUUUUAUGUAUUUGGUGUUUAUUAGUUGAUAUAUAAUUUAUAUAAAAUUUAUGUUUCUCAUAGAUAUUUAUGAUAAACAGAGCUAGAGGACAUCAGCACUUGAAUUCCUGGUAAGUUUAUGGUCUGGGGAAGCAGGACUAAUCUUAGCCAUGGAACAUGGCAAUUCACCAAGAAUCUCUUGUCACCUGAUGUGUUUCAGGCACUGUAGACAAUAUGCCAGGCACAGUGAGGAAACACACCUGAAUAGCUUAUGUAUUCCUGUACAUAAGUACCAGGAGUUACCAGGAAUCAUCAGCUUUCUGAUGAAAGGACUGGAAACAUUUAAACCAAACUUUCAAUUUUGAUACUCAACAUGUAUGCAGCAUAUUAGUGUUAUCAAGGAAUCCAUCAUAAAAAUACACCAAAGAUAUCUGGCGUUUGGUGAGUUGAUUCAACCUAGGAUCAUCCUUUCACUCUGAUCUGAGGGAUAUGGAAUCCAGAUGGUUUUUGUCAGAGGAAACCUACAUGAGCUGAAAACAGCAAUAUACAGGCUAAAUUCUACUUUUAUUAGUCCCAGGACCAUCGUGCAUGUGCAGAAAUUUCCUAUUAUAUUUUUCUUUAUGUAUUAAAAGUGUUUAAUCUUUCCCAGGUUAAUUCUGCUGUUAUCAGGUGACUGCCAUAAUCCAACCAAUGAUUUGUUUAGUUCUUUUUUUUUUUUUUUUCUGAUUUCCUUCUAUGUAGCCGGUGUUUUCAUAGAAUUGUAUUCUAUCUUAGGGAUAUUUAAUGCUCUAAGCAUCACAUUCAUUUAGGAAUCAUUUAUAUAUAAUACUACUAUUGAUAAAUACUAUUCUUUCUUAUUUUCCAGGUAAAUAAACUAAAAUUCUAAAGGAUAAAGCUAAUUUCC
rnacentral:lncRNA from 1 species